ACGAACGCUGGCGGCAUGCCUAACACAUGCAAGUCGAACGAGACCUUCGGGUCUAGUGGCGCACGGGUGCGUAACGCGUGGGAAUCUGCCCUUAGGUACGGAAUAACCCAGGGAAACUUGAGCUAAUACCGUAUAAUGACUUCGGUCCAAAGAUUUAUCGCCUAAGGAUGAGCCCGCGUCGGAUUAGCUAGUUGGUGAGGUAAAAGCUCACCAAGGCGACGAUCCGUAGCUGGUCNGAGAGGAUGAUCAGCCACACUGGGACUGAGACACGGCCCAGACUCCUACGGGAGGCAGCAGUGGGGAAUAUUGGACAAUGGGCGAAAGCCUGAUCCAGCAAUGCCGCGUGAGUGAUGAAGGCCUUAGGGUUGUAAAG
rnacentral:rRNA from 1 species